ACCGAUUAUUUAUUGUUGAUUAGGUUCCGGAAAAUCGCAAAUUUAUCACUUUCAAGAAUUACUAAAACAUAAAAACAGGGAAAUGAGUAAUCGCAGUCAAUAAACCAGUUCCAACACGUUGCUAGCAUCACAAUAGACGUAAUUGUAGACACCUGUCUUCAAAUCGUAAUAAAUGUUUUGUUUCUCACUGGUAACUCGAUGUAUCGAUUUUGAUGUGAGAAAAGUGGCUCUUUAUGAGUUUUUCAGUAGGAAAAACCCAAAACCGUUAUAAAUGACGAAUUCAAGUCAUGGGCCACCAAGUGCAAUGUCUUUAAACGGUUCGUGUAUUCGAGGGGCCACCCUCCGAAAAAAUGCAGCGUUGUUAAUACCGCCACAACAAAGGGGUGAAAUUAUCGAUGGGGUGUCCGAAAAUCAACAACUUACCACUUUUGGUUCGAGGAAGCAAGAAAAGCAAAGGGAACAAGUAAACAAAUUCACUCAACAUUUUCCUGCACAAAAUAAUCCCACAAACACCACAAAAACACACCCCAACUAAGCCAUUCCUGAAUUUACAGCUGACUGAUGCACUGGUUUGUACACAACACCUUUGUCUUUAGACGCCAC